UAGGGGCUUGGGGACCCCUAGUUACCUUGGGGGGGGGAGGGAUUUGCUUAGGGCCCCCACCCGCAGCCCAGGGGUGGGGGCCGGGGGGGGAGGACAGUAGGUCCCCCCCUCAUUAUCUUUGUGGCCCCCACCCGCCGCCCAGGGGUGGGGGCCGGGGGGAGGACAGUAGGUCCCCCCCCUCGUUAUCUUUGUGGCCCCCACCCGCCGCCCAGGGGUCGGGGCCGGGGGGGAGGACAGUAGGUCCCCCCCUCAUUAUCUUUGUGGCCCCCACCUGCCGCCCAGGGGUGGGGGCCGGGGGGGAGGACAGUAGGUCCCC